CGGACUCCUCGGACGCAUCCACCUGCAUCCAUACCUCUACCGCCGUAUCUCUACCGCGUGAGUCCCAGCUAGCAAUCCCGUCAUCACACCGAAGGUAGGUUAGGAGCUUCACCAUUGUUGCCCUUUUUGGAUCGCCGCCAGACCUCCGCCUGCGCCGCCAGUCUAACUCCGCCUCCGCUGCCCUAUCUCAACCGCGGGAGUCCCAGCUACCAAUCCCGCCGUCACACGGACGUUCGUACUCCGUGCAGGUCUCGCAGUGGACUCCCUCGAAAUGGGCGUACAAUUCGUACAUACAUCCGUUCGAGGAUCAGGCCCAUCAUCGGAAGAACGAUUCUGCUUCUAGCCCAGAUUGGUGUAUCUGACAGCGCCGCAUAAUGAUGGAUUGAUGGUGGUAAUUUCGACCCCUUCAUCAUCCCUGCAAUUAUAUUCCGCCAGUUAUUAUGAA